AACAAAACAAAACAAAACAAAAUGACAAAAGUAUUUGUAACACUAUUAAUAAUCUACGUAACAAUCAUCUCUUUCUUUCUUCUCUUCUCUCUCUGGACGGCUGUUGUUGCUCCUCUUUUUCAAGAGAGAGAGAAGGGAGAGAGAG
rnacentral:ribozyme from 13 species